rnacentral:lncRNA from 1 species
CAGAAGACAUUUGACCACACUAAAGAAUGUUUUCCCCUCCCAGUACUUCUAGAUGCUAUAUAGUCCCAGGACAGCUGGGUGGCUCAGCAGUUAAAGUGUCUGCCUUUGGCUCAGGGCGUGGUCCUGAAAUCCUGGGAUUGAGUCACACAUCAGGCUCCCCAUAGGGAGCCUCCUUCUCCCUCUGCCUCUGUCUCUGCCUCUCUCUGUGUAUCUCUCAUGAAUAAAUAAAAUCUGAAAAAAAAAAAAGAUGCUGUAGUCCCUACUACUAUAAUGGCAUUUUGAUCCCCAAAAUGCCUUUAAGACAAAACAGUAACAAGGGGUGCCUGGGUGGCCUAGUCAUUUAAGCAUAUGACUCUUGAUUUUGGCCCAGGUCAUGAUCUCAGGGUCCUGAGAUCAAGCCCCACAUGGGGCUUCAUGCUGAAUAUGGACCCUGCUUGAUACUCUCUCUCCCUCUGCUUCUUGUGCUUUCUCUCUCUCUCUCUAAAUCUUUAAAAAAUAAACAAGGAAAUACAUGUUUCAAGAAGGCAGUUUCCUUCCAGUUCUCCUCGUUUCUUCUUUUUUUUUUAAAGAUUUUAUUUAUUCAUAAGAGACAUACAGAGAGAGGCAGAGACGUAGGCAGAGAGAGAAGCAGGCUCCUCACAGGGAGCCUGAUGCGGGACUCAAUCCCAGGACUCAGGAUCAUGCUCUGAGCCAAAGGCAGACACUCAACCGCUGAGCCACCCAGGCAUCCCAUCUCCCCCUAUUUCUAAUACCCUCAAACUCAGACACAAUGGAGCUCAUCAGGCAAGGCCCAAAGCCUCACUAACUGGGCAGUUAGGAAAGGGUGGCACAGUGGAGGCUGGGGUUGCCUCCUUUCCUCUCUCUACUGUCCCUUUGGCCAUGUCCUAUUAGGAAAAGCAGAAGGCCCAUUAGGCAGCCUGUGGGAUGGGGGGGGGGCCUGGCCCUGCUUUGCCCAACCAAGCCAUACUGGAAGCUCCUUGCUUAGCUGCCCAUCUCAUCUUUAUGUAAGUUCCUGAAUCACCUUUGCAUAGAAAAUAAAAGUGCUCUGUUAAAAUUUUUUUUUUCCUUUCUAGUAAACUACUAUAAGCAAAUUCAACAAACCAGAAAUGAAAAAGUAAAGAGCUCCUAUAAAUCAGUUAACAAUACAAUGGGCAAAGGUUAUGUGAGCAAAUGCUUCAGAGGGAAAAAAAUGGAAACAUGUCUCAACCAUGAAAAGAUGCCCAAUCUUAAACUUAAGAGAAAUGCAAAUUAAAAUAAUAUGGGUAAAAUAUUUUUCACAUUUUUUCAAAGUCAAAAAGUUUGACGACUAAUUUACAAGGUAUGAGAAAGCAUAUAUUGCUGUUGGUGAUAUGUAUGAUACAAGCUCAAUAGAGCAUAAUUUGACAAUAACUAAUACAAAGUGAAAAUGUAUACACUCAGGGCACCUGGGGGGUUCAGUUGGUUAAGCAUCCAACUCUUGAUUUCAGCUCAGGUCUUGAUCUCAGGGUCAUGAGUUCAAGCUCCAUGGUGGACUCCACACUGGGCAUGGGACUCACUUGAAAUAAAAUCACUCUUCAAUCCAGCAAUCCCACUCUCGGAAUUUAUCCUGCAUAUAUCCUCAUAAAUGUAGAUUCCUCAUCCUCACAGAAAUCUAAAUGUUUAUUUUCUGGAAAAGGCAAAAUGAAAGAAUUUCUGUACAGGGCAUACUAAGCCAAAUUCAGGUCACAAGUAGUCACUUGAAGAUGAGGAUUAAGAGGGCAUGUGAUUAUUGAAUGCUAGGAUCCUCAUCCUUGUCUCCCCACUAAGCUGACACAACCAAAUCUUUAUUCUCCAUGCAGAAAUUUUAAAAGAUUAUUUUCUGGAGACUCUGGCAAUUCCCAAGAUAUAGGCCUAAGUUUCCCCAACAAAGGUCCCAUAAAGAUACCCUGCAGUGAACCCCAAAGUCCAGAAGUCCUAAAACCAUGUGCUCAGAUCUUCCAGAAUGUUUUUUUUAGUCCCUGGCUCUAAAUCAUAAGCAGGCAACCAAGGAUUAUCCAUGCAUCUGAGGAAAGCCUCUAAACAUGAGUUUUAGAAAUGAAAACAAAUGAACAGGGGCAGAGGGGAAGCAGUGUUGGAGAAAACAGACUAUAUAGGGAUAUGAGAAUUUUAAAACAUGCUGAUAUUCUCAGAUAAGUUCAUAGUGCAUCUAUGAAACAAACAGGACAACAUUUUUAUAAGAAACCUUGGAUAUUAAAAAUGUGCAUAGCAGGAAUAAAAACAGUAGAAGGGUUGGAAAAGAAAAUUAAAAUCUCCCAGGAAAAGCAACAAGAUAAAUCGUAGGAGGAAAUAGAGAUAAGAAAGACAGGCUCCAUGCCGGGAGCCCGACGUGGGACUCAAUCCCGGGACUCCAGGAUUGCGCCCUGGGCCAAAGGCAGGCGCUAAACCGCUGAGCCACCCAGGGAUCCCCGGAAAUUAAUUUUUUAAAAAAAAGAAGAAAUCCAAUUGUCUAAUAAAAAUUAAAUGAAAAGUAAUGGCCCAUAGCCCUAUUAAAGUCAGGACAAGAAUUUCUGUACCACCAUUUAACAUUUGUACUGAAGUUACUAACCAGAGCAAUCAGACGAGAGGAAGAAAUUAGAUACAUAAAAAGUAGAAAAGACAAAGUAAAGCUUCUGCUAUUUGUUGUUGGUAUGAUCAGGUACUUAGAAAACCUAAGAGAAUCAACUAAAAAACUGCUAUUAAGAGAACUCAAUGAAGUAAUAAGGGAUACGAUUAUCUACAGCACACGCAAGUCUUUAUGCACACAAACAGAUAACAGCAUUACAGCAACCAUGCUCAUACGUGUUCUCUUGUGGACUCAUGUGAGCAUUUGCCUUUGGUAUGUGCUUAGGAGUAAGAUUGCUAGGUCAGAGGGCUUACAUAUUUUUCAUUUGAUUGAAACUGCCAGAUGGCUCUCUGAAACAGCUGCACCAGCUGACACAUCCGCCAGCAUCCUUGCCAGUAUCUGCCAUGUACCCCAGAGAAUGUGCUUCUGCAAAACUAGGGGCUAAACCAAGAAAGAGGAUGACAUGGGAUCUAAGAAAAAAGGAUUAUAAUAAAGAAAAGUGGUGAAAGUAAUCACCAGGAUGUGCAACAGGCCUAAGUUGGAGCAGAAGGAUACACAACUGUGGGAAGGAGGGAUCCAGGAAAUGAAGAGGCGAUGUGCUGCAUUUAGCUGUUUUGAAAAUAUUCCAUUGAUAGGUAACUGAAGGAUCCGUUGGAGGAAACUUUAAAAAAAAAAAAAA